rnacentral:rRNA from 1 species
UCAUGGCUUGAUCCUGCCCGUAACCUGGUUGAACCCGGCAGUAGCAUGGUUUGCCGGUGGCGCUGCUAAUGGCUCGGUAGGUGCCUCAUAAUUUCCUUGACCUGCGCUUCUACAUGGAUAACCGGGGCAAUUCUAGAGCUAAUACAUGCGUAAAGGCUGGACUCACGUUCAGCUGGUUUUAUUAGAUACGAUACCAACCCUUUGGUUGUGAUGAAUCAUGGUAACUGAUCGGAUCGCUCUGCGAUGAGUCAUCCAAGUCUCUGCCCUAUCAGCUCUCGAUGGUAGUGUAUUGGACUACCAUGGCAGUCACGGGUAACGGAGAAUUAGGGUUCGGUUCCGGAGAGGGAGCCUGAGAAACGGCUACCACAUCUAAGGAAGGCAGCAGGCGCGUAAAUUACCCAAUCCCGACUCGGGGAGGUAGUGACAAGAAAUAACAACUCGGGGUGAAUAACUUUCGAGAUUGCAAUGAUCGUAAAGUAGACAUAUUUGAAAGAAACAAUUGGAGGGCAAGUCUGGUGCCAGCAGCCGCGGUAAUUCCAGCUCCAAUAGCGUAUAUUAAAGUUGUUGCAGUUAAAAAGCUCGUAGUUGAACUUCUGUGUUUCGUUUGAGGAUUCGUCCGGAAAACGGGAUACAUCCGUCUGCAGCAGGAUUCGUCCUGGGGGCAGACAGUUUACCUUGAGAAAAUUAGAGUGUUCCAGGCAGGCGUAGUCCGGAAUACAUUACAUGGAAUAUUGGAAGAUGUCUCGGAUCCGUUGUUGGUUGGGUGAAGAGAAAUGAUGAAUAGGGACAGUCGGGGGCAUUAGUAUUAAUUGUCAGAGUGAAAUUCUUGGAUUUAUAAAGACUGACUUCUGCGAAAGCAUUUGCCAAGGAUGUUUUCUUUGAUCAGACGAAAGUUAGGGGAUCAAAGACGAUCAGAUACCGUCCCAGUCUUAAAUAUAAACUUUACCGACUCGGGAUCAGGUGGGAUUUUAAGCCCGCUGGCACCGUACGAGAAAUCAAAAGUCUUUGGGUUCUGGGGGGAGUAUGGUCGCAAGGCUGAAACUUAAAGGAAUUGACGGAAGGGCACCACCAGGAGUGGAGCCUGCGGCUUAAUUUGACUCAACACGGGGAAACUUACCAGGUCAAAACAUGGGUGUGAUGGACAGAUUGAGAGCUCUUUCUUGAUUCUAUGGGUGGUGGUGCAUGGCCGUUCUUAGUUGGUGGAGCGAUUUGUCAGGUUAAUUCCUUUAACGAACGAGACCUUAACCUGCUAACUAGUGCCCUGUCUCCACAUGGGCCACUUCUUUGAGGGACUAUGCGAGUUUAUCGCAUGGAAGUUUGAGGCAAUAACAGGUCUGUGAUGCCCUUAGAUGUCCUGGGCCGUACGCGCGCUACAAUGGCACAUGCAACGAGUGUUCUGAUCAGAAAUGAUUGGGCAAUCUGCGAGGGUGUGCCGUGAUGGGGAUCGAUCUUUGCUACUGUGGAUCGUGAACGAGGAAUUCUUAGUAAGCACAAGUCAUACCUGGGUGAUCAUUCCAUUCACGUGGUUGAUCCACCCAGUUACUUGGUUGAUCUUGCCAGUCGAGAUAGGUGCUGCUGGUGACCCCGGUAUAGAAGCCGGCCAAAGACAAUGGAGGAGGCGGAGUAGAAAGAAGUAUAGGGCAAGGGCU